UACGUAGGGUGCGAGCGUUAAUCGGAAUUACUGGGCGUAAAGUGUGCGCAGGCGGCUUCGCAAGUCGAGUGUGAAAUCCCCCGAGCUUAACUUGGGAAUUGCGCUCGAAACUACGGAGCUGGAGUGUGGCAGAGGAAGGUGGAAUUCCACGUGUAGCGGUGAAAUGCGUAGAGAUGUGGAGGAACACCGAUGGCGAAGGCAGCCCUUCUGGGCCAACACUGACGCUCAUGCACGAAAGCGUGGGGAGCAAACAGG
rnacentral:rRNA from 1 species